CGAAAGCUGACGGACAACGCCGCGUGAAUGAUGAAGGCCUUCGGGUUGUAAAAUUCUGUCUUCAGGGAAGAAAAAAAUGACGGUACCUGAGGAGGAAGCCCCGGCUAACUACGUGCCAGCAGCCGCGGUAAUACGUAGGGGGCAAGCGUUGUCCGGAAUUACUGGGCGUAAAGAGCGUGUAGGCGGAUAAUUAAGUCAGAUGUGAAAACUUGGGGCUCAACCGCAAGAGUGCAUCUGAUACUGGUAAUCUUGAGGGUAUGAGAGGAAAACGGUAUUCCUAGUGUAGCGGUGAAAUGCGUAGAUAUUAGGAGGAACACCAGUGGCGAAGGCGGUUUUCUGGCAUACAACUGACGCUGAGACGCGAAAGCGUGGGGAGCAAACAGGAUUAGAUACCCUGGUAGUCCACGCCGUAAACGAUGGGUACUAGGUGUAGGAGGUAUCGACCCCUUCUGUGCCGCAGUUAACACAUUAAGUACCCCGCCUGGGGAGUACGGCCGCAAGGUUGAAACUCAAAUGAAU
rnacentral:rRNA from 1 species